UUUGUUGGAGUUGAUCCAAUGCAAAGGGCUUUAGUAGUGAGUUGACGAUAUUUCACGAUUAGAGUAUUACACAUUUUGUCAACAGAGAUUUAAAGACUAACAUGAAAUCACCUCGACCUUUCCGAUUCAAUUGGCAGACAACAGAGAGAGUAGUAACACACCCGUCACCCAAGGAGGACUGUGGGAGCUGUGGUUUAAGUUCAGGUCUAAACUUACCCAGUACUAGAAGCUUGGUAAGGAGAUGAUGAUGAUGAAGAAGGACAUCUCUAGUGAUGCAAGAGAUUGGAAUAUACUGUUUGACGAAGAUAAAUACCCUGCCCAAUUCCCUCAGCAUACCUACAAUGCUAGAGGUUGGAUAUUUUAAUUUUGUCAGUUAGUUCCAUUCUCCAAGAAUAUUUUAGUUUUACUGAUUGAACUGACAUGUGGUGAUGAGAGUAACUUCAGCUCAGUGACCAAGUGGAAAGGAAGAAAAAACCAAAAGAGAGCUAAUUCCCGGGAUCACUGGUGUUGACUGGAUUGUGAAGAUCUUUAUGGUGGAUAUUUACUGCAGAGUCCUGUGGCACCACAUAAUUCUUUUCAACUACUUUGGUCUAAAGAACGAAGACGGUAGUACUGCAAGAGAUUGCUUUGAAAUCUCUUCAAUGUUUCUAAUCAACGGUUCAUCUAAGUGUUGCAUGCACAAAACAUGGUUCAAGCUAUAACCGCGGAAUCACAAGUACUGGUAACUGAGAUGCCUUCUAACAACCAGAAGCCCAGAAGAAACUGCUCUUUCAAGACAUACAGUUUAAGGGCAUAAUUGUUUUAAUUUUAUCUGCUUUUACUGUAGUUGAACUGCAACUAUCAUAAUCUAACAGACAUGAUGGACAGUUGAGCUGAAGAUUACAUAUAUAUUUGGCUUUCAUUUAUAUCAGCGUUGUUUUCAAUGGCCUUCAAACUUCAGCUUUUUUGAUGAAAUAAGACCCUUCAUGAUUGAAUUUCUCAGAAGUUUAUUAUCUUACUGUUGUUAAGUAAGUUUUUCACGGGGAUAUAUUCAUAAAAACACUGUCUAACAUUUACUUCAUCAAAGGUAUGUGAAUUUACAAACUACGAUUCUGAUAGAAUUGAAAGCUACAAAAGUAAAGUGACAGAUCUUUUUGCACGAUAACUGUCAUUAUCCUCCACCAUGCUGGGUUCCUGACCUUGCUUCAUCUAAAUACACAGCUGGUCAAAACACUAAACGCUAUUUUAAAUGCUUUGUGGUCGACUGAGGAGCAUUGGUAGACAUAUUCAAUGGUUUCCACAUUUACGGAGACCAAGAUAAUAAAUGCCACGCACACUAUAGUUAGGUACAGCACACAGAACAUUGCUAAAUUCUAGUCCUGCCUCAUCGAUUUGAAAUGAGAAAUGAGCAGACAAAAGACGAAAAAGAUUGACGCUCAGGACUGCCACAUAUAGAAACAACUGCAACGAUUAAAUGCCUAAGGUCUAAUUGGUUAGUGAACAAUUGCUGAAGCCUGUAACCGGAGAUUUGUGCGUUAAACAUAUUACAUCAGACUACACAGACUUUUAUGAGCAAACUGAGAAUCGCCAGGACACAGAAGCGAAGGGCCCCUUCUAUUCGGUUUUUGGCAAAAAGCUUGAGUGUUGAUUGUUGAACAUUGGCCUAGAUAAACUAUGAACUUUUUGAAACACAGGGCGUUUGUUAUUUUUCUGAUGUGAGUUGGCAACAUAUGAUCAAUCGUUGGUCUGUUUUAUAGUUACUUUAAUGUGUACAUUUUCAAUUCUGUUAAGUCUUUUAAGUAUAA